AGUCUGCUGAUGAAGAAGAAGGUGCUGAAAAAAUCGAAUUGGAAGAUUUGGUUUGCGAGAAGGCUGUACUUGAAGGCAAGGAUGACCGUGGUGAACCUUGUGUUAUUGUUUCUUCCGAACACGUUGAUGUUAUCUCUCCGAAUUUUGAGGUUUCGCGACAAAGCGAGUUGAAUUUAAAAUCUCCACCAGAUGACACCAUCAAUCAGACUAAAAAAAAUGCAAGUGAAUCGAUUGCUGAAUUCAAAUCAAAGGAGUCUGGUCCUUCUUCAAGCCGCUUCAUACCGACGCAAACUGGUUGUAAAGUCCGUAUUUGUC